AAAAAGGAAAAGAAAAAACCUCCCCUCCCUUUAGUCUCCCCUCCAGUCUCUAAUCUCAUCUGUGAAAAAGAACUGUACUUUACUGUCCACAAAACAGUUCAUUUUCAAAGUGAGAGAAGAAUUGCUCUGUGAGGAGAGCCAUCAGUAACUGGGGUUCAUGAAUUCCUGCUUGUUUAUAGAAAGCAGUGGCUGAGGAUAGACACUUUGAAACCACCUGUGAAAGAAUUAAAGACCAAGGGGGGCAAAACCCCCAUCACAAACAGAAUCUCACUGAUCAAGUGUGAAAGAAAAGGAAGAAAGAAAAAGCCAAGUAGAUCUUUGCAGGCAACCACUAGAUGGACACAGAAUUCAAAAACAUUCUUUAGUGAGAUCAAGGAUGGCAGGCUUUGAAGCCUGGAGGGCUGGCGAGUCUCAGCACCGGCCUGGCCGUGGCAAUCCCCGCACCGACGCGCCCACAGUCUUGCACUUGCUGGAGUAAAGCAUUUAAAUUGGAACAAUGUCAAAUUUCACAGCUAUCUUAUGUCCAGUGACCUUACGGGCCCCCGAGGGAAAGACAGAUAAAAAAUGAUUGUUCUCAACACGUUCCUGAAAGCGAAGAAGUCACACAGGCAACCUUGAGAAACAACUUUUCAAAAUGAAAACACCCACAAACUCUUGCUUGCGGGGUGGCAAGCAAAUUGUGCUUAUUUAUCUAUUCAUUUAUUUAUUCUCUUUACUGAGGACUCACAGUGUGUCACCCUCUUUACAGAACACCUGCAGAGAUCAAGUUCCAUCACCAUGGCACGUAAAUUUGCGAGGAUGAUGUUAUUGUGGGAAAAGAGAAGAUAACAACUCUUCUGAAUUAUUUAAUCAAUCUGGAACAGGUUUUAUUGUUGUUGUAAAGGAAGUGAGACAUAACUUGUGUCUGACCAAGAAAACCAAAAAAACAGAAGAGGACAAAGAUGAGAUCUCAAACCUCUGCUGUGUGUUUAGGUGGAUACACGUACCAAUUACAAAUGAAAGAAUCUUUGAUCACCGGAGUCGUUGGUGUGUGCUGAGUAAAAUCCAUCCCAAAUCCAAAUAUAUUUGUAGUGUGAGAUGAAGAUGUGGAGGUCACGAGAAAGCAAUUUUGUUAAUCACUUUAGCACCAAUUCUUGCAUCCCUGGCAAUACUCAGAACUGCCUCCAUCCAAGUCUUUGAUGUGGGAAAGAAACACACACACUCUUUCACAUGUAAUCUGAAAACAAUUCACCUCUUGCCAAUGAAUGCACAGCACUCCACUUUAAUAGAGAGCAAGUUCUGUGGAGGUUUCUAAUCCUUUCUGCCAAAGAAGAGAAGAGAGAGAAUCACUCAGGUAGCCCAACCUCAUUCAGGAGUUAAAAUCACUUGGAAUGUUUUGUGGUGUGUUGGGGGCUUUUUAAAAAAUAUCACUUGCUGAAGAUUACGGCUCUCAGGGGAAAUCAAAACAACUCAAGAUCAAAAAAAUAAAUAAAAAAUAAAAAUAAAAAAAGAGUCCCCAUCCCCAACUCAAACAGGAUAUUCUUCUCAACUCAGAUAACUCUUGAUCUAAGUGUAUUACAAGAAACCUGCUUUAAUCCCUCAAAGCAAUGGUGUUAUAGAUAAGUAGCGGUAACUGAGGUGGCUUAAAUUCCAGAAAUGUACAAAAGAUUUGGUUGGAAACAAAACUAAAGAAGAAAGCAAGCUCAAUCUGCAUUGCUGUGACUUAAGAGGUAAAUUUAGGGCAGUAAAAAUGCAAAGAAUGACCCGUAAAAAAGAAAUAGCCAUAAAGUCCAGAAUUGUCCUAAUGGUCCCACAGGCUGCUUUCAGCAUGUGUCUGAAUGUGUAUGUGCUUUAGGGGUGUGUUUGUGGAAGUAUUUUAAGAAAGUGAAAUUGUUUUACUGAUUUCAGGAUCUGACAGUUCAUUUGAAAAUUUCUUUAUACAUUUUACUGUGAUAUUACAACAUUCUGAAACUGUGUUUCACAAAUGAUUUUCUUGCUCUUUAUAUUUUCUUUCUCUUUAUACUUUUGGUUGAACUCCAGUAUUUUCUUCCUAUUUAGUCCCUUUUCUUUGACGUAUCACUGCUCACUUAAAUGCAGUGGGAUGGACUUUAUGGUUUUUCCUUCUGUCAGUAAUUAAACAUAUUUUCACAGUCUGGGUAUUCGUUUUGAUCUAUCUUCUGACAUCCCAGUGAACAGAUUGCACAUCCCCCCCCCCCCCCCCGCUUGUCAACUAUAGCUCUCUAUUGCAAAAUAAUGGCAAUUUCUUUCAUUUUGGCCUCUCCCAUUUGCCCAAAACAUGCUUGAAAAUGCUCUUUCACUUUUUUAAGAGUGCCCCUUUUUUAGAGGUAAAGCUUGUUAUUUGAUAGAUGAUACAUACAAAUAGUUAAUAGUUAAAAAUUCAAAAGGUAUAAAAUAGCAUGGCACCCAGUUCCCCUUCUUAGAAGCAGACCUUGGUGCUAGGUUUUUGUGUAUCUCUCCAGAGAUCUUUGGCGUGUAUCUCUCCAGAGAUCUUUGGCGU